rnacentral:lncRNA from 13 species
UCACAGGACCUUGAGAGGGAAUAUCCUGCGAGAACGACGUUAGCGCAGAGGAACCCUCCAAGAAAAAAGGAACCUGCUGCACGGCUGGGAUGGAGAGCUCUGGUCAAUUCCCCCACCUGCUGCUCCCCUGACAGACUGUUCCAGUGUCAGAGCCAGUGUGAGUGUGAGCAGCAAUGGACUCUUGACACACGCAGAUGUUGCGUUGAGAAGAAUAUACCUUGCUGGAAAAGUUCUCCUACCAAUCCUCAGAUGAGGAGGAGCCACCACAGGGCUUGAUUCCGUGCUUGGGGCAGAAUCACUUCACUGCCAAGUCACAGGACCUUGAGAGGGAAUAUCCUGCGAGAACGACGUUAGCGUGAGUCAGUUGUCCUGUUCUUCUUCUGUGUUCCUUUGACUUGGACACUCUUUCCCAUCUGGU